rnacentral:lncRNA from 1 species
UCCAUAUUAAUUUAAGUUCUUUCUUAUAUUAGCCCCAGAAUAAUCUAGGAGACUUUACCAACUUGGUAGUUUAUUGUACAUUCCCAUUUAAGGUGGAUUUUUGUGUUCCCUUUUGUCUUUGUCUUCUUUGUGCUGGUGCGCUGUGUCCAAUAAUCUUUCCUUUAGAUUUCAUUUUGGUGAGUAAGGCUUCUAUUUCCAGAAAAUUACUGUAUCACUGAAGAGUUUAUCUUAAUUCUCCUUUUUUUUUUCCUUAAUAUUGUGUUAUGUAAAUUGGUUAAAAGUUACUCCCUGGAUUCAUUUAACUGAAAAGCUUUCAAAUGGCUCAUGUGACACUGAUGCUGCUUUAAGGAAGUGUCUUGCUCACCUGGUCAAACACCCAUUCCUCACUGCAUUUUGCCAAUUCAAUCCAUUUUAGAUGUAACCUCGGGUAUGGUGAAAGACCCACCGGACGUCUUGGACAGGCAAAAAUGCCUUGACGCUCUGGCUGCUCUACGCCACGCUAAGUGGUUCCAGGCUAGAGCUAAUGGCCUACAGUCCUGUGUGAUUAUCAUACGUAUUCUCCGAGACCUUUGUCAGCGAGUUCCAACAUGGUCUGAUUUUCCUAGCUGGGCUAUGGAGUUACUGGUAGAGAAAGCAAUUAGCAGUGCUUCUAGUCCUCAAAGCCCUGGAGAUGCCCUGAGAAGAGUAUUUGAGUGCAUUUCUUCAGGGAUUAUUCUCAAAGGCAGCCCUGGACUUCUGGAUCCUUGUGAAAAGGAUCCCUUUGAUACUUUGGCAACAAUGACUGACCAACAGCGUGA